AAGCUUGCUCCAGUACAUCUAACUGAAACUUCUCCCUUCUCUUAUACUCUGGAAUCGCAUGACACAGAAACCUACUACCAAAAAUUGGCGCUCUUUCAUCCCGCUAUUUUUUUUUCCAAUCGAUAUGUUUCCUAUUUUUCAGGAAAAGAUCACGCAUAUCCAAAAUCAACUACUCAAUAUGUUUUUAAUUCCCUUUGUAUUACCAUUUGAAAAAAGGAAAAAAAAUUCUUCUCAUAUAUCUACUUCUCUGCGGUUAUUUAGAAUUCUACGGCAAUUCAGUGGAGGUCUUUGUACCUGGAACAAAAGCCCUAGUUUCUAUCGCAUUCCACGUUGCUGUACAAAGGUAUGAACAAUUUUAUUUAUUAAGUAAUCAAAUUUUUGUAUAAUUGCUAGUGCAAUAUGAUUUUGAGGCAAUAUUUUGGUUCUGAGCAACGUGAGUCAUAUCUUUUUCUUUUUCUUUUAUUUUUGCAAUAUUUAUUUGAACUAUCAUAUUGUAGCUUUCUGAUUUUUGUUUGCAGCUAUGGAAACGAUUUGCAUACAUGUUUUUUAAUUUCUUUUGUGCUUUACGUUUUUUAUUUUGUUAGUAAUUCUAUGAAAUCAUCAAAUUGUUUUUUCUUUUAUUGUUGUAGUGAGAUAAAGUAAGGAACUUUGCCUUGGUUUGAUCGGUUGUAUUUGAUACUAUAUCUAGUCACACAAACCAAAAAAGGGGAUAUAUUUUUAUUGGUAUAAUUAAUUAAUAAAGUUUUUGUUUAUGGGAUUUUUGGUUUGAGGUAAGAGUUAAGACUGAAGAACAUAAGUAUUGUACAGUUGUAUUAAGUGUACAUGUGAGAUGCUUUUGGUGAGGUUGAUACUCAAGAGUUAAGGUUUCACUAUACUAAUUUAUAAAUGUAUACUCAUAGUUGGGAAUGUUUGAAUAAAGCCACAAAUUGUAUGAAGGUAUAUUGUUCAAUUCAAAUUCUUAUUUUAUUUUUACAUUUCAUAUGUUCUAUUACAUCAUCUGUAAAAAUAUUGCAACCAUAAAUCAUUGCUCUUUUAAUAUUUGUGUUUCGGUUCUAGGAAAAUACAAACUUGCCCGACAAUUAUAAAAAAAUUGUCUGAAGAAACUUGGAAAACUCUGGAA
rnacentral:lncRNA from 1 species